GUAGGUGGCAAGCGUUGUCCGGAAUUAUUGGGCGUAAAGCGCGCGCAGGUGGUUCUUUAAGUCUGAUGUGAAAGCCCCCGGGCUCAACCGGGGAGGGUCAUUGGAAACUGGGGAACUUGAGUGCAGGAGAGGAAAGUGGAAUUCCACGUGUAGCGGUGAAAUGCGUAGAUAUGUGGAGGAACACCAGUGGCGAAGGCGACUUUCUGGCCUGUAACUGACACUGAGGCGCGAAAGCGUGGGGAGCAAACAGGAUUAGAUACCCUGGUAGUCCACGCCGUAAACGAUGAGUGCUAAGUGUUGGGGGGUUUCUGCCCCUCAGUGCUGCAGCUAACGCAUUAAGCACUCCGCCUGGGGAGUACGGUCGCAAGACUG
rnacentral:rRNA from 1 species